GAGCUAUGACCACACCACUGCAUUCCAGCCUGGGCGACAGAGUGAGACCCUAUCUCAAAACAAGCAAAUGAAAAACCUUUUAGUGUAUGUGCUGCCGAAGCAAGCACAUGAAAAACUUUCAACAACAAAUGUAAAGUAAACCUGCACUGCCUCAGUGGACUCACCUGGAACAGACCCCUCAGCGCUGGGAGCAUGCGUUUGAGAGCAGUCAGAAAUAUAAGGAAGGAAAAUUCAUCAUUGAGCUUGCUCACAUGAUCAAAGACAAUGGCUGGGAGUAAAGUGCGAACUUUCCCUUCUCCUUCGAAUGCUGUUUUGUGAAAGAAACUGAAUGUAAUGGAAACGUAGGAGCAGCCGGUGGCAGCCUUUCUUGCCCUGUGACCUCAAAGGCUAGCUGCGCAUAGCUCUUGACACUCUCGGCCAUCUCUGUGGGUAAGGUGUCCCCUCAGAUCUGUCCUCUUCAUGUACAUGGUUGUUUCUGAAAAUCUUCAGUGAGCUUUUUCUAACUUCUCAAGUUCUAGAGAAAGAAUUAACCAACUGAUGACUUA